UACGUAGGGUGCGAGCGUUGUCCGGAAUUAUUGGGCGUAAAGAGCUCGUAGGCGGUUUGUUGCGUCUAUCGUGAAAACCUGCAGCUUAACUGUGGGCUUGCGGUGGAUACGGGCAGACUUGAGUUCGGUAGGGGAGACUGGAAUUCCUGGUGUAGCGGUGAAAUGCGCAGAUAUCAGGAGGAACACCGGUGGCGAAGGCGGCGACCUGGGUCGAGACUGACGCUGAGGCGCAAAAGCGUGGGGAGCAAACAGG
rnacentral:rRNA from 1 species